UAACCUAAACGUCCUCGUUGCGGGCAUUAUCCAUUUUCUUGCUCCCUGCUCUGCUCUGCUCUGCCAAAUCCAUCCAUCAAUCCAAAUCUCCAACCAUCCCCAAACUGGCAAAAGCUUAAAAUAAAUACCCUUGUUCCACGCCCAACUUGCACCGUUCACCACUGCUUCCAUUAAUUAAUACUGUCGCUCGCCUUCAUUCAUUCAUAAUUCAUGGAGAUCUGAAUUGAGGAAUCAAGGGGGGAUAUGAUAUGGCUGCCGGAUGCGAUUCUUCUAAAUGCCUCUCGAUAUUUUUCUUUCUUUCUCUUUCUCUCUCCCUCUCAUUCUCUUAUAACUCGCUCAAAAUAGCAAAAUUCCGCCUUCAAAUGCCUCUGCCUUUCUCUUUCGAUUAAUUAUUAAGUGUUUGUUGUUUUUGCCUCCAUUCCCACUUUUAGAAACCCCUCUUUUGCUGCAUUUGUGUGCUGCUGUUUCUAUCUCUCAGCUUGCAAUUGACGGAGAUACGUACAUAUAUAUAUAUAUAUAUAUAUCUGUAUGUAUGUUGGGGUAUGGCUCGAGAGAGGAUUCCGAUAAAGAAGAUUGACAACGUAACAGCGCGGCAAGUGACCUUCUCCAAGAGGAGAAGAGGCCUUUUCAAAAAGGCCGAAGAGCUCUCAGUUCUCUGUGAUGCUGAUGUUGCCCUCAUUAUCUUCUCUUCCACCGGCAAGAUCUUCGACUAUGCCAGCUCCAGUAUGAAAGAAAUACUCGAAAGGCAUAAGUUGCACCCGAAGAACCUCGAUAAAAUGGAUCAGCCAUCGCUUGCUCUGCAGCUAGUCGAGGAUGGAUUCUACAGCCGGCUUAGCAAAGAAGUGGUCGAGAGAAGCCAUCAGCUUCGGCACUUGAGAGGCGAGGAACUUCAUGGAUUGAACAUCGAUGAGCUCCACAAGCUUGAGAAGUCGCUUGAAGCGGGAUUGAACCGUGUCAUAGAAACAAAGGGAGAGAAAAUCAUGAAAGAGAUCAAUCAGCUCCAAGAAAACGUCGGGAACAAAGCUCGUAGAAGAGAACCAACGACUAAGACAAGAGGUGGAGGACAUAUCAACUGGCCGGAAAACAGUGGGAAUGGGCGAAGAACCAGAGAAUGUUGAAGAGCAGUCGCCGGAGUCAGUGACGAAUGUGUGCUGUAAUAGCUCGGCAGGGCCUCUGCAAGAUUACGAUAGCUCCGAUACAUCGCUUAGGCUAGGGCUGCUGCCAUACAGUGGUUGAGAAAUUACUUUGAGAUGAGAUGAGAUGGUAAGAAGUAGAUGAAGACAUUUUGGUAUGUGAUAAAGGAUGUUGGACAUGAUUGAUAUGAAUGUCUCUUCCUACAAUAUAUAAUUGUCUCAACUUCAACUUUUGGUUGUUUGAAUCUGUAUGUUUGUUUGGUACAUGUUUGUGUGGGGAAUUCAUUCAAUGUUCUUGCACAA